GACGAACGCUGGCGGCGUGCUUAACACAUGCAAGUCGAACGAUGAAGAAAAGAAUUGAAGCUUCGGCAGAAAUUCAUUUCGGAUUAGUGGCAGACGGGUGAGUAACGCGUGAGCAACCUACCUCUUACAAAGGGAUAGCCUCGGGAAACCGGGAUUAAUACCAUAUAACAUUGCGACGAAGCAUUUCGAUGCAAUCAAAGCUACGGCGGUAAGAGAUGGGCUCGCGUCCCAUUAACCAGAUGGUGAGGUAACGGCUCACCAUAGUAACGAUGGGUAACCGGCCUGAGAGGGUGAACGGUCACACUGGAACUGAGACACGGUCCAGACUCCUACGGGAGGCAGCAGUGGGGAAUAUUGCACAAUGGAGGGAACUCUGAUGCAGCGACGCCGCGGGAGUGAUGAAGGAAUUCGUUUCGUAAAACUCUGUUCUAGGGGAAGAAAAGGACUGUACCAUAGGAGAAAGCUCCGGCUAAAUACGU
rnacentral:rRNA from 1 species